rnacentral:rRNA from 1 species
AGUGAACGCUGGCGGUAGGCCUAACACAUGCAAGUCGAACGGCAGCACAGUAAGAGCUUGCUCUUACGGGUGGCGAGUGGCGGACGGGUGAGGAAUACAUCGGAAUCUACUUUUUCUUGGGGGAUAACGUAGGGAAACUUACGCUAGUACCGCAUACGACCUACGGGUGAAAGCAGGGGAUCUUCGGACCUUGCGCGAUUGAAUGAGCCGAUGUCGGAUUAGCUAGUUGGCGGGGUAAAGGCCCACCAAGGCGACGAUCCGUAGCUGGUCUGAGAGGAUGAUCAGCCACACUGGAACUGAGACACGGUCCAGACUCCUACGGGAGGCAGCAGUGGGGAAUAUUGGACAAUGGGCGAAAGCCUGAUCCAGCCAUACCGCGUGGGUGAAGAAGGCCUUCGGGUUGUAAAGCCCUUUUGUUGGGAAAGAAAAGCAGCAGGUUAAUACCCCGCUGUUCUGACGGUACCCAAAGAAUAAGCACCGGCUAACUUCGUG